AAAAAAAAAAAAAAAGACCCAACAAAAACCAACCAACCAACCAAAAAAACCUGGAAAGGAAAGUGAGCCAAGAUGAAAACUUAAAGGUACCUUUUGAAAGGAGCACAGGAUCUUUAAUAACCACUUGCUUUGGGGGCCUUUCACUGUCAGAAAGAUUAUUGUACACCAUGCCAGGAGAUAUUGCAGGUGGCCCUCCAGUAAAGCCAGUGCUGGCAAGACAGGUUGAAAUUGGUGUCAGGCUCAUCCCAUUCCACAUAAAGGUGCUCCAGCAUUCUCUGUUUCCUUUUGUUUCUACCAAUUUUUACUCCACGUAGCCAUCAAAAUAGUAUCUAAGGGUUUUCUAUGUUAAUUCUAGCCCACAUCUCUACAUCCCUCGCUCAAAGUGACAAAAGAAAGCUGUGGUUGAACUAAAAGUUGACCUGCAGUUUCCCAGUCCCUCCUGCUCCUCCCAGCCCAACUAUCUGUUUAGUUGGACUCGAUGAUCCUUCUGUGUCCCUUCCAACUUCCAGGAAUAUUCUCUCUGUGAAAUAUCCGUACAAGAGCACGGUUCCCACUUCUGGCUACAUGAGCCAGAGGUGGACAGAGCUCCUAAUAUACAACACUCUCCUCUUUGCUUUGACAAACCCUCCCUGCCAAGCAUUAUUGACUUAUGACUCAUUUCCACCCAAGUGACUCCUCCCAACUCUUCCCUGUCAUUUCCAUUGCACUUCCUCACUGGGAAAAAUCCCUGCUUUAGCACCUUUCUUACAGACACUCCUUUUGCCAGCCCAGAUCUGACCAGGAUCUUGCCCUUUCUGCAGAACAACCACAGAGUCACUGGCAGCAAUUCCUGAGAUGUCCUGGUAGCUUCUCAGUUGUACCCCUUGAGCUGCCAAAUUAAUUCCAGCCUGUCCUCAUAAUUUUACUACUUCACAGCUCUGCCUUUCACAUAUAUCAUUUUUGCCCUCUCUGCAGAGAAAUUUGGGCCAGUGAGGAUUUUCCAGGGAGGAGAGGUGCUCCCUGCCCUCAUUCCCACAACACCUGCAAACUGUGCUGGCUCAGAGUGACACAGGAACGAUUUUCUUCUUGGCAUCCAACCACUCUGACCACUUGCUACCGGGCCUGGGACAAACCAGAGGGCAAAGAACAAAACUGCAGAAAUCAAGCUCAGAAGCAAAGAGGAGAAAAGCAAAACAGAGAGAAAAUCUUCACGUCCAAACUCCUCCAGAAAUCUUGGGGUUUGGAUGCGAAUCCUUCAUUUCUAGUUGAUAAUCCAUAGAUAUCCAGAAGAGCCCAGCUGCCCUCAUGAGUAGGGUCUGGAAAAAGACCCCAGAUCUUUUAGAAUCUGUGGAAAAUCACAGAAUGCUCAAACCAAAGGACCCUUCUGAUGGUCAGUGUCAAAUAUAUGAUGCAAACACUGCUCAUCAGUCCUCAGCCCACCUGGCAAACACGCAUGAACCCGGGCAUCCAAGGAAAAUUAGCUUGAAUAUACCAAUAUCCGUCAUGUGGCCAUGUCCUAAAAAUAUAUAAACUACACAGACAUGGUUAGAAAGGAGCAUGAUGAAUAUCCUGAUGUCCCAGCUGCUCUCCAUCCUCCUGUAUUUGAUGCACAGAGGCAGAGUCCCAAUGCAGAAGACCCCAAAAAGUCUCUAACAGUUGACUGUGAGCUGCAUCCUAACAGGGAAUUCCUGGAGGACCCCCAGGUGGACGGAUAGAUGGAUGGAGAGUGGUGAAGCAGAGCUGGGCUCCUGCAGGCUGGAGAUGUGAGGUGCAAGGGGUUGGUUUCACCACAGGAAUUUUGCAUGAGGAGCUGGCAGGGAGUGGCUCUUCCCUGGCUUGUCCUGUGCCUCAGCACUGGCACCACCACAGACCGAGGGGAUGGGUGCUGCUCUGCCUCUCCCCAGCUCUCAUGGAAAAGGGAGUGACAGAGCUGGAGAGACUGCAUGAGGUGAGAAUGGAUUAGAGUGAAAAAUAAGGGGGGAAGGAGGAAAACAGAGCUCUCAGCACGACCCCAUGUGCUGGGAGGGCAUCGGCUCCAAGCACAGGCCACGUGUUGGUGACACACACUUGGCACUUGCUUUUACAUCCAGCGGCACAAGGACUUGUCAGAGGUAACUAAAGACCACCAGGAGCCUUCAUCCAGAGCUCAGGCAGUGGAAACUCUUCCAUUAACACUCCCUCCCUGCCAGCUCCUCUCCUUUUCUUCCUUGUCUCACCUCUGGGUUGCGUCCGGCAUCUCGACUGGAAUUACCUCGGGCUGCUGCUGCACCAGCCCUGACCUCUGCUGCGAAUAUUUUCGGGGCAGAGGAGACUGAUGUGGAGUCCUGGCUGAUCAGUGUGAGCUGAGCGUCCUGGUCUGCUGCCCCCUCCAGCCACAGACGUGAUGGGGUGGGGAGGGGGAGGUUGUUUUCCUGCAAAAUUUACUCCGUGAUUUAUAGGAAGGAAAAAUCCGUUUGGAAUUUAAAACUGCUAUUAGCUCCUCUCGGUGUUGCCUGUGCCCGCAUGUAUGUGAUAUAUAUACAAUAUAAACCUUUAUAAAAAUAAAACCUAAUAAAAAGGGGCAGGGGGAGGGGUGUUUGCCAGCCUGGCAGGCACAAAGCGCUGGGAAUGCGAAGCAAGUUUUAUAAUCACCGUGGCAUUUCCAGCGCGUUUGGCCACAAAAGCUCCGGAUUGAAUGGUUUAGCAUCCCUCUCCGUCUCUCCUUGCAUCACAAAGCUCAGAAGCGCCAUUUGAAGUUUCAAAAGGAACGUUUUUUUUGUGAAUGAGAUAAUCAGCGCCGACUAAUCUGCCACGCGCCCCUCCUUGUAAUCCGCACACCUCCAGCUGAGGGAACAAAACCGGGUCCAGCUAAUCCCGCGGGGUCCUGCCUUGAAGCUGUUGCACGGAUCCUGUGGCAGGAGCGGAGGUGGGAAGGAUUAUGCUGCCGAGAGCAGAUGCACGUCUGUGUUCUUACAGUCUGGCCCCUUGUUGUGCAUAAUUCCAGGUAAUGAAGUUCAGGGCUGAGCCACGAGGCACGUCUGGGUCCCCACAAUGAUGGGACAGAGGCGACCCCAUUGACCAGCCACGCAGGAUCCAUGUGGGAAAGCUCCUGCUGCCACGAGCCCCAGAUUUCUGAGCCCUGCAGGUGGGACAAGGAGGUGAAACCACUUCCCAGCCCAUAAAUGAUGCCAGGCUGCUGCACUGAGAGUUGCAGGACCAGGGGGAAGGGAAAACCCUCGUGCUCAGAGUACCCGAGGAGAAGGGAGAGGAGCUGUGCUGGAGUCUGGGCUGCUCAUGCAUUUCACAUACAGAGCCACUGGAUCAAACAAACAGCAAAGCCCCGGGAGAAAUCCCAGAGGCUCUUAAAUCCCGUAUUUCCUCAUUGCUAUGGAAGAAGCGUGCGCUGCGCGGGGAAAGGUGAGCGGGAGCAGGCAUGUGCCUGUGUGUGUGAGCGCCACACAGGCACACCUGCGGUGGCAAAGAGCACGUUUCUGACCCGAGGGCUCACCCCACAUCAUCUGCAGGAGUCAAUUUGCUGAUAAAAACAGACUCGGAGCUGCCUCACUGGAACAAACAGGAGCAGAGAACAUCCGCCCUUGGGAUCUAAACUUGCUGUGCUGUUACAGACUGCACCCCAAUUAAAACCACAAAAAGCUGCCUUCCCCUUUCUCCAAAAUCCACUCCAGAAGACAAGAAACUGUUCCUGAUAUACUGCAGUAAAAGCAAUCCAGUUGACUGUCUUUGGAGAGCUCUGCUCUCUCCAGAAGGAGGAAUCUCUCUCGCAUCCAUACACGCUCAUUCCUGCUCUGUGCCUCUCCGAAGGGAGCCAUCACUCUCUUCAAAACACUCUCCCGUAGUCAGCAGUGAUAGGCAAUGUAAUAAUACCUUUUAUUGGGUCAAUACAUCAGCUGGAAAGCAGAAGCCACCCUUUUCUGCAGGUGAUGGCCAAGGAUUGACCUAUGUGAGUGUGCAGGCCGGGGUAUUACGGCUCUUGGUCCAUUCCCACAGGCAGGAGGGAGCAUUUACCUCUCUUGGUUUGUCUUCUGGUGCUUUAUUGCAUUUCCUGUUUUCUGAGCUGCCUUAAUAAAACAUCCUUCUGAA